rnacentral:tRNA from 1 species
GCCUCCUUAGCUCAACUGGUAGAGCAACUGAUUUGUAAUCAGUAGGUUGCUGGUUCGAUUCCGGCAGGAGGCA